AUGCAUCAUGGAGUCUGUGGUGGGCACCAAGGAGGGGCCAAGAUGUAUCAUAGUAUACGUCUAGCAGGAUACUACUGGCCCAGCAUUAUGGCAGACUGCCUUAGGUGGCUAGAUCAUGCCACAAUUGUCAAGUUCAUGGUGAUUUCAAGCACAGGCCGCCGGUCCCUCUUCACCCUACCAUUCCCUCUUGGCCAUUCGAUGCCUGGGGAAUUGACAUCAUCGGCCCUAUUGACCCUCCAUCUUCCAGGGGGCACCGCUUCAUCCUCGCCGCGACAGACUACUUCUCGAAGUGGGCGGAAGCUGUUCCAUUACGGGAGGUGA
rnacentral:rRNA from 1 species